UACGGAGGGAGCUAGCGUUGUUCGGAAUUACUGGGCGUAAAGCGCACGUAGGCGGCUUUGUAAGUAAGAGGUGAAAGCCUGGAGCUCAACUCCAGAAUAGCCUUUUAGACUGCAUCGCUUGAAUCCGGGAGAGGUGAGUGGAAUUCCCAGUGUAGAGGUGAAAUUCGUAGAUAUUGGGAAGAACACCAGUGGCGAAGGCGGCUAACUGGUCCAGAUCUGACGCUGAGGUGCGAAAGCGUGGGGAGCAAACAGG
rnacentral:rRNA from 1 species